CUCUGUUGUCCCCCUGUGUGUUGUUUAUUGGCUGGAUGUACUGUCGGCGAUUGGAUGUUGUUGCUGGCGACCUUUGUCCGGUUUGUGAUGGCGUGAGAGACGUUUGCGGGAUUUGCUAGCGUCCGGCGGCUCAACACCAGGCCAUCCCGC